UGUAAGUUUUUAAAAGUUGAACAAACUUUCCUUUCAAGCUUUCUCAUUCAAGAGGACUUCUUAAUUCAUCAUCGAGGUCACAAACUAUAUCUUAGAUAAAACUCUCUAAUAUAAUUGCGCUGUUAACCCUGGGGUAGCUUAAUCUUCAUGCUUUAUCCAUGAUGAUAUUAUAAAUUGAUACAGAAUGUUUUCGUAUAUAAUGUAUAAAUUACAAUCCGCCCCAGUUAAAUAAUAUUUAUUAAAUUAUUUCCAAGCUCCCAGGGUCUUGUCGUCCCUUUAAAUUCAGCAAGAUUUUUCACCUGCUAAUUAAAUUUUAAAAACAUAAGAACAAAGCAAGUAUCUAGUUUUCCCUUUCAUCCUACCUCCCAUUUAAAGAGAAAAUUAUUAUGCUACCUUUGCACAACUUGUAACAUGGCGGCCAUUUAUAAAUUUACAUAGGGCAGGGUUUACCUUUUAUAAACAUAAAAAGAA
rnacentral:rRNA from 1 species